GACAGAGGGGGCAAGCGUUGCUCGGAAUUACUGGGCGUAAAGGGCGCGUAGGCGGGAUGGCAAGUCGGUCGUGAAAUCCCUCGGCUCAACCGAGGAACGUCGAUCGAUACCGCUGUUCUUGAGGAUUGCAGAGGAGACUGGAAUUCCCGGUGUAGCGGUGAAAUGUGUAGAGAUCGGGAGGAACACCGGUGGCGAAGGCGGGUCUCUGGGACGGUACUGACGCUGAGACGCGAAAGCGUGGGGAGCGAACAGG
rnacentral:rRNA from 1 species